rnacentral:rRNA from 1 species
UACGUAGGGCGCGAGGCGUUGUCCGGAAUCAUUGGGCGUAAAGAGCUCGUAGGCGGCCUGUCGCGUCUGCUGUGAAAUCCCGGGGCUUAACCCCGGGCGUGCAGUGGAUACGGGCUGGCUGGAGGCAGGCAGGGGAGAACGGAAUUCCCGGUGUAGCGGUGAAAUGCACAGAUAUCAGGAGGAACACCGGUGGCGAAGGCGGGUCUCUGGGCCGAUACUGACGGCUGAGGAGCGAAAGCGUGGGGAGCGAACAGG